CAUCAGAGGGGGCGGUUUGGCUUAUGACUCUAGCAUUGCGACCUCACUUCCUUGGCGACAGGUCCAAACAGAACUCGGAACCCUGGAGUCACUGGGCACCACAGUCCAGCGACGGCUGCCUAACAGUCACUUGGCUGGAGAGAGUCAGCAGCGAUGACGCUGUGCUGCUUUCCCAGGCCUCGAGGCCGCAGCAAUAGGACCCUGCGCAGGGAAAGCACUUGGGCACAAGUGAGAGGAUGGAUGGCUAAGUCCCCGUGCUUCAGGCCACUCACCAAGAGCUACCUGGCCUUCAGGGGCAGCACAGGGCGGAUCUCACCAGACCCAGAGACCUGGGGACUUGAGAUGAGCGGGAGCCCAGGGCAGAUCUCCUGGACACUGGACCCCAGACACUUGGGGCCACCGAGUCCAGGACAGGUCCAGUUAGGCCCGGCCACCACUAUUGGGGCCCAACAGGAGGAGAGCCGGGCAGAGGACUUCAUGGUGAGGACGGCACUGGCAGGCAUGCGGCGCCCCCUGAGGGAGCCCCCGGAAUGGGACUUCCUGGACAGCCGCCCCAUCCACAUGGACUCCCUCCUGGACCCCUCUGGGGCCUGCAUUCCCGCCCUGCAGGAGGGGAUGGUGCGAAGGUCCUCCUUCUUUGUCCUCUACUUCUUGGUGGAGUUGCACUCCCAGGAGAAUCCACCAGCUGAACUCCUGGCCCAGCUGGAGCAAGCUGAGCCCACUGAGGCACAGCCCACGGGUGAGGAGGACGGGGUGUGGGCCUGUGGGCAUGAGGGGAGGGAUGGGCCUUUAGACACAGAGACAGCUUCCGGGUGCUGGGGUGACCUGGGAUCACUGAGACCUCAGCCGUCA
rnacentral:lncRNA from 1 species